rnacentral:rRNA from 1 species
UGAGUAACCUGCCCCAAACUCUGGGAUAAGCACUGGAAACGGUGUCUAAUACCGGAUACGAGCUUCAGCCGCAUGGCUAGGAGUUGGAAAGAAUUUCGGUUUGGGAUGGACUCGCGGCCUAUCAGCUAGUUGGUGAGGUAAUGGCUCACCAAGGCGACGACGGGUAGCCGGCCUGAGAGGGUGACCGGCACACUGGGACUGAGACACGGCCCAGACUCCUACGGGAGCAG